GAUAAGAAUGGUGAAAUAAUACGCUCUAGUGCUUCUCUCAUCAAUCAUCUGCGCUCAUAAUCUAAAGUCACCUACUAGUCGGAACCACCUAUAAUAGUCUGUACGACUAGUAUGUCAGAACCUUCUCAUGGUCUGUACGACAUGUCGGAACCCUCUCAUGGUCUGUACGACAUGCACCUACUUGGAUCCAAGGUGAACGUGCGGUGCGGGUGAAUAAUAUAAGCACUAACACCAUGAUUGCAGGUUAUGAUUUAUCCACAUAAUAUACAUCAUCAAUGAUUCACAUGAAUAACAUAAAACUCACCUGAUACUCACAUAUGCGUCCACAGCACCAAUUCACAUAUAUAUAUAUAUAUGCAUCAAUUAUCAAUUCAUAUAAUUCACAUCAUGCAUGCAUGGCAUUUUAGAAACAUACUUUCAUUAAAACUCAAUUUCUGGGAAAUUCAAUAGCAUAUAGGUAUAAAUAGAAAGUACUGCCCACUCACUGAUAAGUAAGUCGAAGGGUCGUAGCCCACGUGACGUCCCUGGAUGCGCUCGUCCUCGGGAUAGGUAUCACCUAUAUGCGAAAUAACUAUAAAAACGUUAUUUUAAAGCAUAUAACCAAUAAUACGUAAUAACUUCUCAUACGGUGCUCAAUUUGGGUAUAUGAAUAUACCACAGUGACCUACUCGACGUCAGGGACGUUGUGAUAUUUUUAGAAAAAAUUUUGGGUUUGCCACGCGCCCUCACACGCCAGGAAGGGCACGGGUCCACGCGCCCCCCACGCGCGUCUCCUACCUCGGGCUCGCCAGACUGGUUUUUCUGGUGGCCGGAAAACUGGAGAUUUUUCAAUCUCCUUGUUCUCCGUCAUUUCUCAACCAUUUUCUUCGUAUUUUAUAUCAAAAUGAAGCCCUAAACAUGUAGAAUCACGUUACACUACUUUAACGCUCUAAAAACUACGAAAUCUCACAAGAGAAAUUCCAAGAAAACCAGCCAACUUCGAACUACACGAUCCCGACGUCCAAAACUUCCAAACGAGCGUCCCCGAGCUUCCUUAGGACCUCACUAAGCUCACUAUAAGCUUAGAAUUCCAUGAAAAUCAACAUAUCACGAUUGCAUGAACAGUGACAUAAAACUGGGGUUCGGGUUUUACGUGAUUUCGAAGGUUUCACGUUCUAAAACUAGUACCAAACGACUCAGGAGAUCGAAAGGAUGAAGAACCUUACCUUUUUGCGUCGAUCCGCAACGUUUUGGAGGUUUGGGGCUUCGUCCGUACGAUUUCGAGAAUGAGAGAGAGACUGAACGGAGAGGAAAGAGAGAGAGCACGGGGGAAGAGGAAAGGAAAGGGGUCAUGUGCGUGUGUGUGGUCCAACCAAAACCAUACAUACCAAUUUUAAUCCCUAACCACACAAAAUACAAUCCAAAUUUAAUCCAACUUAAAGUAUUUUCUCCAAAAGUUUAGGAAUGUAUAUUUAGUCCAAAUAAUAUAUCACACACACACAUACCUUAAUACCCGUCAAGGGUAAUUCCAUCAUUUCACGUCCUUGAUGAAUAAAAUCCCGGGACGGGCUGUGACAAUCUUCCCCCCUUAUAGAAUUUCGUCCUCGAAAUUCAUACAACCAAUCAAACCACUUAAUACUCAUAAAACAACCUCGGAUACAUCUCUCUCAUUCGGUCUUCCGUUUCCCAAGUAGCUUCUUCUGCUAAGUGGUUCCUCCACAAUACUUUUACCAAACUCACCGUCUUAUUCCUUAGAACCUUGUCUUUCCAAUCCAAGAUAGUGACUGGUUCCUCAUCAUACGUCAAAUCUGGAUUAAUCUCCAAAGGUUGAAGAGGAAUCACAUGUGAAAGAUUUGAAACAUAAUGUCGAAGCAUCGAGAUAUGAAACACAUUAUGUACCUUAGAUAACUCCGGAGGCAACUCCAAUCUGUAAGCAACUUCACCAAUCCUCUCAGUGAUCUCAUAAGGUCCUAUAUAUCUAAGACUUAGCUUGCCUCUCUUUCCAAACCGUACUACACCUCUCCAAGGUGACAAUUUCAAGAAUACCAAAUUACCAACAUCAUAAACUCGAUCAGUAACAUGUCUAUCUGCUAAACUCUUUUGCAGAUCUUAGGCCGCUUUCAGGUUAACCUUAAUCACCUGAACAUUUUGAGUAGUCUCAUCCACAAUCUUUGGGCCCUCUAGCACUCUUUCGCCGACCUCUGACCAACACAAUGGUGUACGACAAGCUCUACCAUAAAGUGCCUCAAAUGGUGACAUACCAAUGCUCGAAUGAAAACUAUUAUUGUAGGCAAAUUCCAUCAAAUCUAGGCGAUCAUGCCAAGAAUCACCAAAUUGCAACACUGAAGAUCUUAACAUAUCCUCCAACGUCUGAAUAGUCCUCUCUGAUUGUCCAUCUAUCUGAGAAUGAUAAGCAGUGCUAUAAAGCAAUUUCGUACCAAGAGCUUCCUGAAAAGCUAUCCAAAACUUGGAAGUAAAUCUUGGAUCUCGAUCAGAAAUAAUAUUCACUGGAACUCCAUGAUACUUCACAAUCUUUGUGAUGAAUAACUUAGCCAAUUUAUUCAGAGAAUACUUUUCUCUCACUGGAAUGAAGUGUGCUGACUUGGUAAGCCGAUCUACAAUCACCCAAACGCCAUCAAAUCCAUUCUGAGUACGUGGGAGCUUAUACACAAAAUCCAUAGUUAUAUUUUCCCAUUUCCACUGAGGAACGGGAAGUGGUUGCAUCCGACCAAAAGGCUUCUCCUUUCUGCUUUAACUUGCUGACAAACAAUACACCUACUUACAUACUCUGCAAUUUCCCUCUUCAUACCCGGCCAAUAAUAAAAUGGUCGAAUGGUAUGGUACAUCUUAGUUCCUCCUGAGUGCAUUGCAUAAGCCGAACAAUGUGCUUCAUCCAAAAUUUCUUUCUUUAAUUCCUCGUUAAUCAGCACAUACAUUCUAUUCUCUUGCAUAAGCAUGCCAUCUGAUUCUCGAAUCUUGAGGUCUUUCUUUUUCCCUUCAUUCCUCAAUUGAAUCAAUUCUUGAAUCUCCUCAUCAACCAACUGAGCUUCAAGUACACGAUCAACCAAAACUGGCCUGACUUGGAAACUAGCAAGAAAAGCUUCUCUUCACUCUUCCAUUUCCAACUUUACUCCAGUAGCUCUCAAAUCUGCAAGAAGAGGAACACGGCAAGCAUACAAGGCAUUAAGUCGACCUUGAGGUUUCCUACUCAGUGCAUCAGCUAUCACAUUUGCACGACCCGGAUGAUACUCAAUAGUGCAGCCAUAAUCACUUAGCAACUCUAUCCAUCUUCGCUGACGAAGAUUAAGAUCAUGCUGAGUGAAAAGAUACUGAAGACUCUUAUGAUCUGUGAAGAUCUUACAUUUCUCACCAUAGAGAUAAUGCCUCCAAAUCUUCAAAGCAAAAACAAUGGCUGCUAACUCAAGAUCGUGAGUACGAUAAUUCCUUUCAUGAAUCUUCAACUGUUGAGAAGCAUAGGCAAUCACUCGGUUAUGCUGCAUCAAAACACAUCCCAAACCAUUCAAGGAAGCAUCACUAUAAAUCUCAUAGUUACCACAAUCAGUCAGGAAGUAUCAAAACAGGAGCAUGAGUGAGGCAAUGUUUCAACUGCUGGAAACUUUGCUCACAAUUCUCAUCCCAUACAAACUUAACAUCCUUUCUGGUUAACUUCGUUAGUGGUAAUGCAAUCAUAGAAAAAUCUUGAACAAACCGUCGAUAAUAACCUGCUAGACCAAGAAAACUCUGAACCUCGGUGACGGUUCGUGGUUGUUCCCAAUUCUCCACUGCUGCUAUCUUUUGAGGAUCUACUUGAAUUCCUUGUGCUGAUACUACAUGUCCUAAAAAUGCCACUUGAUUCAACCAAAACUGACAUUUAUUGAACUUGGCAUACAACUGAUGUUCCCUCAAUUUCUUUAGUACCAAGUUUAGAUGUCGAAUAUGAUCUGCUUUCGACUUAGAGUAUGCCAGAAUAUCAUCAAUGAAAACAAUGACAAACGUAUCAAGAUAUUGCUGGAAUACUUCAUUCAUCAACCUCAUGAAAGCUGCAGGUGCAUUAAUCAAUCCAAAUGGCAUUACCAAAAACUCAUAAUGUCCAUAACGGGUUCUGAAAGUCGUUUUAGGUACAUCCUCAUCUUUAAUCUUCAACUCGUAAUAACCAGAUCUCAAAUCAAUCUUAGAGAACACACACGCACCUUUAAGCUGAUCAAACAAAUCAUCGAUACGAGGCAAGGGAUAACGGUUUUUAAUCGUUACCCGGUUCAAUUGCCUGUAAUCAAUACAUAAUCUCAAAGUUCCAUCUUUCUUUCUCACAAACAACACCGGAGCUCCCCAAGGUGAAGUACUAGGUUGAAUGAAACCUUUAUCAGUUAAUUCCUGUAACUAAAUUUUCAACUCUCUCAAUUCAGCUGGAGCCAUUCUAUAUGGGGUCAAAGAUAUAGGAUUCGUACCUGGAAGCAAAUCAAUCGAAAACUCCACCUCUCUGUCUGGCGGCAAUCCAGGCAAAUCAUCUGGAAAUACAACAGGAUAGUGCCUGACUACACGAACUUCCUCAAGACUUCUUGGAACAACAUCAUUUAGCAUCACAUGUCCUAAGUAUCCUUGACAACCUUUCGAUAACAACUUUUUUGCUCUCAUGGCAGAAAUAACACCAUGUCUCACCCCACUUCUUUCACCCACAAAAGUAAUGUCUGGUAGUCCAGGACGAAGAAAAGUAACUGAUUUCCCGUAACAAUCUAUAUGGGCACGAUUAAAAUGUAACCAAUCGGCCCCUAAAAUCACAUCAAAAUCCACAAUAUCUAACGGGAUAAGAUUAGCUGGCAUAACUACGCCAUCUACCAUCACUGGCCACCCUGGAUAAACACUAUCAACAUAACAUUUGUUCCCUCUAGGCAUAGCAAACUCUAAAUCAAAUCCUAGAGGUGUAGAAUGAGGUUGUGUCAUUUGAGCAAACGUAUGAGAAAUCACAGAAUGGGUAGCACCACAAUCAAUCAAAACUCUAGCAAAAUGACCAAGGAUGUUUAACGUACCCAUAAUCAAGUCUGGAUGGUUCUGAGCAUCCUGCAGUGAUAUGUGAUUAACACGUCCCUGAGCUUGUUGUCGUCCACCACGACCUCUGCUACCUUGAUUACCUCGCCCCUGAGAAGUGCAUCCCUGACCUGACUGGCUAGCCUACCUAGACGGUCCUGCACCGCUAGCAGUAACCUCUCCUUGACGGGGCUGAUUUCCCUGAUGCCACUGAGAUCCACUAGCUGGCAUGGAAGAAUAUGAAGAAUAGCCUCCAGGAUCUUGGGAAUACCCACUCUGAGAAUAAGGAUCAUGGGCAUACUGAUACUAUCCGGAUGCAUAGGGAGCAGCAUCACCUUGAUAGUGGUAAGCACCCCCACGACUCGUCUAACCAUAACUGCCUGAUCCAUAACUAUGCUGUACAGGUGCUGGAAGUGGCAUAGCAGACUGCUGAGGCCUCUGCUGACUCUGGGGACACUUUGUAGCUCUAUGUCCCAUUUGUCCACAAGUAAAACAACCACCACCACUACUUCUCCUACACUCUCUAUGAUGCCUGAAAUUACAACGACGGCAUAACGGAGGACCUGAACCACCAGUACCACUAAAAUCUCUCAGCCUCUGAAAUCUGGGUCCACCAGCAAAUCUUCCACCUCUCAUCGGGCCUGUCACACUAAAUCCUCCACUGGAAGAACUCGAGCUCGCCCCACUUUUCUUGAAAUUCUGCAUCCUACGGGGUCCUGGAAUGGAGAUACCUUUUCCCUGUCAUCUCUCUUCUGAGUAUCAUUAUUCUCUUCAUCAUCAUCGCUGUUACUGGGAAGGUUAUCAGAAUCCUCCAUCCGAACCAAGAUCUCAGAAAACUCAUGAUAAUCGACGCAAGGAAGUGCACUAGCAAAAGUCCGCCAUUUCCUCUUAAUUCCCAACUUAAAGCGGCGAAGCAUCUCUACCUGAUUACCAGCUGUAUCAGGAUCAUAACGAGAUAAGUCUGUAAAUUUCAUGUAGUACUCAUGCGCUGUCAUAUUCUUUUGCUUCAAUCGGGCGAAUUCUUGCUUCUUACGGUCGAUGUACUCUGGAAGAACAAAUCUCUUCUUAAAAUUCUCCUUAAAUACCUCCCAAUCAGAUGCCAUCUCCGGUGACAUAAACUGGGCCUGAUUCUUCCACCAACCUGCUGGCUCUUAUCCAAAAAACCAAGUAGUGGUCUCGACCCAUCUAUUAACAAGAAGAUUCCCCUGACUUUGCAUCACCUGAAAAGUCUUCUCAAUAUGGUCUAGCCACUUUUCUGCCCCUGAAGUUAGACCGUUUCAUGGGUAACGAGGGUCAUGAAGGGGGACAGAUUGCAUUCUGAAAAGCAUGAGCCAUUGCUUCCUAUGAAAAGUCUUUUCAGAAUGCAAUCCGUCCUCGUUACCCAUGAAAAGUCUUUUCAGAAUGCAAUCCGUUCUCUGUCUCCAAGGGUGUUCUCUGAGGAGGAGGAUGACAGAUUGCAUUCUGAAAAGCAUGAGCCAUUGCUUCCCCUAAUUGAGCUAUAUCAGGGAAGUUAGACUCAGAAGUACAACGUAGUUCUCUACGAGGCGGCAUAAUUCUGACAGAAGACACCAAAAGAUCAUUAGAGCAUUAACAAUUAUACAGGACUGCAACCUAGGCUCUGAUACCAAACUGACACACCCUGAUCCUAGAAUUAAGGCGUGAUGGCCGUCACGUGAACGUGACGUAACCAUAAGUGUGGUGCGGAAGCAAAGAUAAGAGAAUUACGAAGGAAUCAAAACCAAUUACUAGCAACAAUAACCAAAUAGCAUGCUAGAGUGAGUUAAAGUGUGAACACACACAUAGACAGAGCUUAAGAACUAGGUGCAGUCAAGUAGGACUAUAAUCAAAUUAUAACACCCGCAGGUGAGUCCUACAUGUAGGAAGUCUGUCAGAACGUCGAAGAAAAACCUUGUGAGCCACCAACUGCUAACUAGAACCUGGAGGGGCGCAAAACAAAAUUGAGUGGGUCAGUAAAACGAAACUUUUCAAAAACCUUUCAUUUAAAACAUUUCUAACCCCUCGUUGUAAAACCUGUAUACUUUCCCAGAAAAUAACAUAAUAGCAUAUAACUUUUCAAAUAUCUCAAAUCAUCACUCUUUCUCAAAACCAGAAAGUAUGCCAUGCUAUAAAUGUCAAAACAGAAUGAAUGAUGCAUCAAUGUAACAGGUGACAUAAUGAAUUAACCGGAGACCCUCCAAUUGGUCCUGUGCAGUUAAUUCUAUAGCUCAACAUCCAAUCCAACCGGAGUCACCUCGGUGACCUGUAUGGCACUACACUGCAUAUAAGUCGGAACUACCUGAAGUAGUCUGUACGACAAGAAUGGUGAAAUAAUACGCUCUAAUGCUUCUCUCAUCAAUCAUCUGCGCGCAUAAUCUAAAGUCACCUACUAGUCGGAACCACCUCUAAUGGUCUGUACGACUAGUAUGUCGGAACCCUCUCAUGGUCUGUACGACAUGUCGGAACCCUCUCAUGGUCUGUACGACAUGCACCUACUUGGAUCCAAGGUGAACGUGCGGUGCGGGUGAAUAAUAUAAGCACUAACACCAUGAUUGCAGGUUAUGAGUUAUCCACAUAAUAUACAUCAUCAAUGAUUCACAUGAAUAACAUAAAACUCACCUGAUACUCACCUGUGCGUCCACAACACCAAUUCACAUAUAUAUAUAUAUAUAUGCAUCAAUUAUCAAUUCAUAUAAUUCACAUCAUGCAUGCAUGGCAUUUUAGAAACAUACUUUCAUUAAAACUCAAUUUCUGGGAAAUUAAAUAGCAUAUAGGUAUAAAUAGAAAGUACUGCCCACUCACUGAUAAGUCGAAGGGUCGUAGCACCCGUGACGUCCCUGGAUGCGCUCGUCCUCGGGAUAGGUAUCACCUAUAUGCGAAAUAACUAUAAAAACGUUAUUUUAAAGCAUAUAACCAAUAAUACGUAAUAACUUCUCAUACGGUGCUCAAUUUGGGUAUAUGAAUAUAACACAGUGACCUACUCGACGUCACGGACGUCGUGAUAUUUUUAGAAA
rnacentral:lncRNA from 1 species